CAAGGGGUUAAUGGGAGUCUGAGCCUGGUUGCUGGGGUAGAUGAUGUCACAGACAGACCACACACCAUAUCCUGUGAUUGGCUGCAUUUUCCCACAGGGAACCAAUUGAAUUGGGAGUUGAUUAUUUCCUCUCUUUUGGGAGAAGGGGUUUCUGUUCUUUUGUGUUUGUCUUCAGUUCUUUGUGGGGUUUUUUUAGAGAGCUGGAAGUUGGGAAGGAGAGAAGAGAAGGCAAGGGAAGUACCUCUCUCUCUCUCUCUGGGGCCUUGCUCAUUUUGAGCUGAGGAGUUUACUUGGAGGCCUGUGGAGAAGAACAGCCCCAAGGGCACAGGAUAAAAAGAUGCUACUUCAGCUUCAUUUCAUCCCUGGGUCACGGCAACCCAUGGCAGAGAGGGAAUCAUGUGCACACAAAAGGCAGCAAGCUUACAUGAAGGGAAUUACUACAGCUGCCACCAGUAGAAAAACUACAGGACCCUGCUGCUUUAAGCAAGAGUGUAAACCCCCAGAUACAAAAACAAAAUGCAUUUCAUCUG